AUUGAACGCUGGCGGCGCGCUUAACACAUGCAAGUCGUGCGGUACCGAUGGCAAGUCUUCUUGACGAGCCUUCGGUAUAGCGGCGGACGGGUGAGUAACACGUGAGUAGCUGUCCUAGGGAGGGGGAUAACGCCUGGAAACGGGUGCUAAAACCCCAUAAGCCUCGAAAGAGGUAAAAGUGCAUCACUGCAGUCCUAGGGUGUGCUCGCGGCCUAUCAGCUAGUUGGUGAGGUAAGGGCUCACCAAGGCCAAGACGGGUAGCCGGCCUGAGAGGGUGUACGGCCACACUGGAAUUGAGAUACGGCCCAGACUCCUACGGGAGGCAGCAGUUGGGAAUCUUAGGCAAUGGACGAAAGUCUGACCUAGCGACGCCGCGUGAGGGAAGAAGGCCUUCGGUUGUAACCUCUGUCAUGGGGAAGGAAGUAAGUAGACGGUACCCAACGAGGAAGACCCUCGCUAACUACGUG
rnacentral:rRNA from 1 species